rnacentral:rRNA from 1 species
AAACAUGUCUCUUUGAUUAAAUAUAUAUAAAGAGUUUGACCUGCCCAGUGAUAUAAUUUAACGGCCGCAGUACUCUGACUGUGCAAAGGUAGCAUAAUAAUUUGCCUUAUAAUUGAUGGCUAGUAUGAAGGGUUUGACGAAAGCAUUGCUGUCUCAAGUAUAUUUUUUAUAAUUUAUCUUUUAGGUUAAAAGACUUAAAUAAAACUAAAGGACGAGAAGACCCUAUCGAGCUUUAAAGAAAUUUUAAGAAAAGUAUGUUAUUAAUAUUUAUUUUCUUAGGAAAUUUUUGGUUGGGGCGACCUAGGAACAAAUAAAGCUUCCUUAAAUAAAUAAUAACGCAAGGAUCCAAUAUUAUAUUGAUAAAUGGAAUUAGUUACCGUAGGGAUAACAGCGUUAUUUUUUCUGAAAGAUCUUAUUGAAGAAAAAGUUUGCGACCUCGAUGUUGGAUUGAGAUAACUUAAAGGUGCAGAAGCUUUUGUAAGUUAGUCUGUUCGACUAUAAAAAUCUCACAUGAU